AAACUCAAAGGAAUUGACGGGGCCCGCACAAGCGGUGGAGCAUGUGGUUUAAUUCGACGCAACGCGAAGAACCUUACCAGGGCUUGACAUCCCCUGACCGCGUAUGAAAGUACGUUUUCACCCUCGGGUGACAGGGAGACAGGUGGUGCAUGGUUGUCGUCAGCUCGUGUCGUGAGAUGUUGGGUUAAGUCCCGCAACGAGCGCAACCCCUACGUUUAGUUGCUAACGCGUGAAGGCGAGCACUCUAGACGAACUGCCGUUGACAAAACGGAGGAAGGUGGGGAUGACGUCAAAUCAUCAUGCCCCUUAUGUUCUGGGCUACACACGUGCUACAAUGGCCGGUACAGACGGACGCAAAGCCGCGAGGUGGAGCAAAUCCUAAAAAGCCGGUCUCAGUUCGGAUUGCAGGCUGCAAUUCGCCUGCAUGAAGUCGGAAUCGCUAGUAAUCGCAGGUCAGCAUACUGCGGUGAAUACGUUCCCGGGCCUU
rnacentral:rRNA from 1 species